GAAGAAGAAGAGAAGACAAGCGGAGAGAGACAGAAACUUUCUUCUCAAAGAGAGCUGAUCUUUUGAAGCUUUCGAGGGACGUCCAGAGGUCACCAGUGGAUUAUUUAUUUACCUGGGAGAGAGCACAUUAUAUUUAAAGGUUUUACCAGGGUUUUCGCCAUUCUUCCUGUCUGUCCAUGGUGGUUUGUAACAGCAAUACGAUCGAUAAUCCUCAUGAAGUGUUUUCAGAAGAAUGAAGACACCCGGGUAACAAGGGUGAAGACUUUACCCAACCGGAGGAGUUGAGCUCGGAGCCUACCAGACCGGAGGAGUUGAGCUCGGAGCCGACCAGACCGGGAGGAGUUGAGCUCGGAGCCGACCAGA